AUUUAAGUAGCUUAURGAGAGCAUGGUAUUGAAGAUACCAGGGAAAUUAUUUUAAUUCUUAGAUA
rnacentral:tRNA from 1 species